CUCUCACGUUUCAGCAACCCAAGGAGAUGGUGAGAGAGGGAGAGUGUGAUUAGGGAAAGUAGAGAAGAAGGAAAAAAAGAAAAAAGAAAAUGAAGAAAAGAUGACUCAAGAAGGUAGAUGGAGAGGAAAGCUAGUUUUCUCAAAGGGUGACAAAUCUAGACAGGUUUUCAAAUAUAGCUUGUAGAUGAAUUUCUGGAGGUGCUGUGCAAAUUCUGAGAAUUGGAACUGAAACUAGACAGAGUUCAAAAAAAACUGAGAAAAGAAUUAGAAAGGAGUGCGAAGCUAUAAUUGCUGCGACAAUGGAUGAAAGAAGAAAUGCAUCAUUCAGAAUUUUAGAUGAGUGUUCUACUUCUCCACAUGUUGAAUCACAUGAUAUGGAAGGAGUUGUAGACUCCACUCAAGAACCAAAGAAGAAAACUAGGGGGGCAUCAAAGUUAAAGAUGCAUGACAAAGGAAAACAAAAGUGUGAUGAAAUUGACUUCAAUGAAAGGAAUAAGCCUGUGGGACCUGAGUCAGUUAAACUAUCGACUUUAGAAGGGAUCUUGGCACGAGAGAUGGUGCCAAUAACCCUAGAGAGAUGGCCUGAUAUUCCAGAAGAGGUUAAAGACAAGCUAUGGGCUUGUGUGAAGCUUAGAUUCAAAAUACAUGAUUGCCAUAGGAAACACAUCAUGCAAAAGUUUGGCAGAUUAUGGCGCUCACACAAAUCUAAACUAUCACAAAAAAUAAGACCUCUUGGUAAAAGUGCUAAGCUAGCACACAAUAUUGUCCUCACCAAACCUGAUAAUGUAGAAAUGGUUGAAUGGAAAGCAUUUGUGAAAUAAUGAACUUCCAAAGAAUUUAAGGCAAAGAGUAAAAGAUUUAGGGCAAUGAGAAAAAAGUAAACCCUCUUUCACACCAUGAGUCGUAAAGGUUAUGCACGAUUAGAGGAUGAAAUGGGAAGAGAAAGUCGAGCACCAUCAUCCAUAUCAAGAGUUGAUGUUUGGAUUAAAGGACAUACGAGGAAGGAAGGAAAAUCCAUGAAUGAAGUGCUUGAUGCAACUGUGGAUCAAAAUAAUGGUGUGUCGAGCUUAGCAAAUGUCAAAUGCAAGUUGUUGCAUUGGGAGGGGUCAAACUCGGUGGUUGCAGAAGGCCAAAUUGCAUCAAGGGAUCCCAAGUCAAAGGUGCAUCAUGCAACUUUUGGACCUUUGUGUUGGAAAGUAUGGGUGAACCACGUAACAGUCAACGUGCCGUUGUUUCGUUCUACUCGUGAGAUGUAUGAUCUUCAAGAUGCAAUAGGAAGUACAGUUGCAUGGCCUAGUCAAUUCAUUCUUUUGGACUAAAUAUUGGACUAAUUGAUUUACGAUUUGUAGUUAUACUUUUUGGAUGUUUAAAGUCGUAUUUUAGAGAUUA